UGAGUCCUGCCUUGCAAUUUACUACUAUACGUAAAUUCACCACAUCGGAGAAAUCCAAAAAGCUAGAUUAAAUGAGCACUGCAACCGUAAGUCAACGAAUUUGUUAAAGGGUCAGGAUGCCCUAUUCUUGAGUUAUUAUGCCUAAUUUCCUGCUAAAUACAAUUUAAUUGUACAUGUUGUAGCAUGAGCUAGCUUAAGAGAAAUCUUGCAAUAGGUUACAAAAUAAAUUAAACAAUCUUCAUCUAUUAUUGGCACACUAUUUAUAUGCUUCUAACUAGUCAUACCAUAAAUGUUUUAAAACAUAGAAAGC
rnacentral:lncRNA from 1 species